AAUCAACGCUGGCGGCGUGCCUCAGACAUGCAAGUCGAACGAUUAAACUUCCCUUCGGGAAAGAUAUAAAGUGGCGCACGGGUGAGUAACACGUAAGUAAUCUACCUUUGAGUGGGGAAUAACGUUCGGAAACGAACGCUAAUACCGCAUAAUGCAGCGGCACCUAAUGGUGACAGUUGUUAAAGGAGCAAUCCGCUUAAAGAGGAGCUUGCGGCAGAUUAGCUAGUCGGUAAGGAACGGCUUACCAAGGCUACGAUCUGUAACCGGUCUAAGAGGACGGUCGGUCACACUGACACUGAAUAACGGGUCAGACUCCUACGGGAGGCAGCAGUCGGGGAAUUUUGGGCAAUGGGCGAAAGCCUGACCCAGCAACGCCGCGUGAAGGAUGAAGUAUUUCGGUAUGUAAACUUCGAAAGAAUGGGAAGAAUCAAUGACGGUACCAUUUAUAAGGUCCGGCUAACUACGUGCCAGCAGCCGCCGUAAU
rnacentral:rRNA from 1 species